AUGGUAUUCUGGCAGAUCGGGGGGGGGGGGAGGAGGGAGAGGAGGAGGAAGAGGAAGGGGGGAGCGAGAGCCGGGGGGUGGGUAGGAGGGGCGGGUCGGGGGGGGGGUCACCCGGCCAGGAGCCGGGAGGCCGGUCCGGGGGCCGGAGCUGACCGGUACCUCGGGCUACCGUGCAGAGAGAGGUUCGGCCCGUCCCGGGCUCCCCUGGGCGUCAUCGACGGGCCCUGGCGCAGGGCCGGAGCUGCUCUCCCCGCGACGGAGUCUCAUGCCGCCCCCUCCCCGGCCCCGGCCCCGGCCCCGGCCCCGGGGUGGGCGGGGGGGUCGCGGGCUGGGUCUAAGCCCCUCCGACGGGUCCGGCCGAGGCCGGGCCGGGCGGCAUCGCGGCCGUCCGGGGGCCGCCCCCGGCCCGCCCGAGGGGAGGGGGGGGGGGCCCGGCCGGAGACCCCCAGAGUCGGGGCCGGGGGCCCGGCCGCCUGGGUGUGUGCCUGCGUGUGCGUACGCGCCCGUGAAAGAGAGGAGAGGCACGGAGAGACAGGGAGAGGGUGGCUGGCAAAAAUAGCUCCGCUCCGAGCUGCGGGGAGAGCGGCCCCUACGCUCGCUCCCCCAGCCUGCUGGCAGAGAAGCGCUCCGCCUGCCCCCGGACGGCGGGGAGGGGAGGGGGAGGGAGGGAGGGAGAUGGAGGGAGAUGGAAGGAGAUGGAGGGAGGGACGGCCCCGGGACCCGCCCGCGGACCCGCCCCCGCCCCCUGCCGGGACACGCCCCCUGCUGGACGGGGCCGGUUCGCGGCGGGGACUAGGCGACUCGCUGCGCCCCCGCCCCCGCCAGCGCCACGCCCCCUGGUGGAGAGGCCAGGUUCCCGGCGGGGGCUGGGCGCCCCGCCGCGCCCCGCCCCCCGCUCAGGCCACGCCCCCUGCCGGAGGGGGCCGGGGCGCGGCCGGGGACGAGGCGACUCGCGGCGCCCCCGCCCCAGCCCGGGGACACGCCCCCCGCUGGAGGGGGCCGGUUCCCGGCCGGGACCGGUCGACUCGCCGCGCCCCCUUCCAAGGCCACGCCCCCUGGUGGAGAGGCUGGGCGACUCGCCGCGCCACGCCCCCUGCUGGAGAGGGCCGGUUCACGGCGGGGACUAGGCGACUCGCUGCGCCCUGGCCCCCUCCCGGGACACGCCCUCUGCUGGAGAGGGCCGAGUCGCGGCCGGGACCGGUCGACUCGCUGAGCCCCGUCCCCUUCUUCCAAGGCCCCGCCCCUUCCUGGAAAGGCUGGGUUCCCGGGCGGGCGACUCGCUGCGCCCCGCCCCUCCGAGGCCGCGUCCCCCGCUUGGGAGGGCCGCUUCACAGCUGCGCCCCCCCCCCCCGGUCCCGCCCCCUGGUGCGAAGGCUGGGUGCCCAGUCGACUCGCUGCUCCCCGCCCCCUAGGGACACGCCCCCUGCUGGAGAGGUCCCGUUCCCGGCUGGGACUGGGCGACUCGCUGCGCCCCCUCCUAAAAUCACGCCCCCUGGUGGAAAGGCUGGGUUCACGGCUGGGCGACUCGCCGCGCCCCCUCCUAAGGUGACGCCCCCUGGCGGAAAGGGUGGGUUCCCAGCUGGGGCAGGGCCACUCGCUCCGCCCCGCCCCCUUCUGGAUCGCUCCCCUUCGCGGCUGGGACGGGUCGACUCGCUGCGGCCCGGCCCCUUCCCCCUUCCCCCGGGCCCCGCCCCCUCCACCACCACGCCCCCUGCUGGAGAGGGCCGGUUGACGGGCCGGAGCCACUCGCUCUUCUCCACCCCGCCCCCUGCCGGCCGGCGCGGGCACCUCUUCCCACGCAAAGCUUCGGGAGGCCCAAGGCCAGCCGCAAGUGCGUGGCUCCGUGGCGAGAGCCCGGGCUUGGGAGUCCGAGGUCAUGGGUUCGAAUCCCGCCUCUGCCCCUUGGCAGCUGUGGGACUGCGGGCAAGUCACUUCACUUCUCUGGGCCUCAGCGACCUCAUCUGGAAAAUGGGGAUUAACUGUGAGCCUCCCGUGGGACGACCUGAUGACCCCGGAUCUCCCCCAGCGCUUAGAACAGUGCUCUGCGCAUAG
rnacentral:lncRNA from 1 species